rnacentral:rRNA from 1 species
UACGUAGGGGGCAAGCGUUGUCCGGAAUUAUUGGGCGUAAAGAGCGUGUAGGCGGCCAGAUAAGUCCGCUGUGAAAUCUCGAGGCUCAACUUCGAGCUGUCGGUGGAAACUAUCUGGCUAGAGUCCGGAAGAGGAGAAUGGAAUUCCUGGUGUAGCGGUGAAAUGCGCAGAUAUCAGGAAGAACACCCGUGGCGAAGGCGACUUCCUGGCCUGUUCUUGACGCUGAGGCGCGAAAGCUAGGGUAGCAAACGGG